GUUAGGUGGGACAAGUAUGUAGCCAACUUUUGAGACGUGUCAUCUGAGAUGGGAGAUUGGGGGAGCUAGGGAGAAAUAUAACAAAGUCCAUAAAACUCAUGACAGUUUAUCCUGUGUGUGUCUAUCUUAGGGAUUGUCUCCCUAUAGGUGGUCUUCAGAAUGUUUUUGACAUACCCUUCCAACAGUGUUAUGUCCUGGUUUCCUUCUCUUAGGUGAACGGCCCUUCCCCUGCACGUGGCCAGACUGCCUUAAAAAGUUCUCGCGCUC
rnacentral:lncRNA from 1 species